AUAACUGCUGCUGUGAAGAGAAGAAUUGUCAGACUCAGUGUUGAACAUCAGCUACUUUCUCCUGUUGCUUUAAACCUUCUUGUAGAGAUGGAACAUUGGCUGUGGAUGAUUCUUGCUGCUCUUUUCUUUGAGUGUAAAGGAGAAGACAAAGUGAUCCAGGAAUCAGGAGAUGUAAUUGCUGCUGAAGGAGAGACAGUUACACUCCCCUGUACAUUUGAGACCAGUGACCAAUUUCCUUAUUUAUUUUGGUACAAACAAGAAGAAAAUGAUUUUCCCAAGUUUUUACUUCGACGUUUCUCUGGAACAAAAGAUCCUGAAGACUCUCAGAAAACAAGAUUUCAUGCUGAGCUCAAAGAGAAAUCAGUUCCUCUGAAGAUCCAGAAGCUUCAGCUGUCUGACUCUGCUGUGUACUACUGUGCUCUGCAGCCCACAGUGACAGGAAACAGCACAACUCUGUACAAAAACCUUUGGAGCAAAGACAACAGAAUACUCCACAACAUCCACUAGAGGGAGUCACACACUGUUCAACCUCAAUGGUUUCUUAUGAUCCAGUCUAGAUUCUUUGGACUGAUCAGAAUCAAACAACAGAAAAUGAAGCAGUAAAUGUCAGAGACACAGAGCUGCUCUG